UAUGUUACUGGUUGAAUUCCAUUCCUUGGAAGAACUGGAUAUCUGUGAUAUCUAAUUACUUUAUAAUUGAAUUCCCUUCAUUGGAAGAUUUUUUAAGUCACUUGGUAUACUGAUGUAGUAAACUUCAAUCUGUGAUCCCACUUGCCAUGUUGCAUAGGCUAUGGAAUCUGGAAUAUCGAAGAAUAUGGUAAUUCCGUAGCUUGAGAAAUGUGUUCCUACCUUGUAUUGCCAGAGAUCUCAUGCACAUCAAGGAAAUGUCUAUAGUAGAGAGAUGAUUGGGGCAGGCAAAAAUGAAGAAAUCACAGGCAUUGAGUUGCCUGCGUUAAAGGUUUUGAAGCUAACUAGUUCGCCAAAUUUGUCCAGCUUUUGAAGUUGCUAGAGUGGAGAAGCUAACAAGUACAAGGUUGAAUUCCCAAAUCUGGUGAUUUUCAUCUCUAUGGUGUGGAGAUUAACCUGGAAGAGAUAAGGUUGGGCAAAGAUGAUUCUACUUGGCAUAUAAGAACACUGGCUAUUGAAUAUGAUCAGGAGCUACAAAUCCCGUAUAUAUGGCUAGUUGGAUUAUCUAAUGUGGAAGAACUGACACUGAGAGACUGUUGGUCUAAUGAGCACUGCUUCCAACGAUUAAAGGUGCUUAAAGUUCACAAUUCCAGAUGCUCUACUCUUUUCACGUUCUCUGUGUUUACAAAUCUAAAACUCCGAACAUUAGAAAUAUCAAAUUGGGCUUUAUUGGAAGAAAUUGUGAAGGAUGCAAGGCAUGCUGUAGUUUUUGGCACGAAUAAGAAAACUAUUACAAUCUCACAGCUGAGAACUGUUAGUCUUACUGAUUUGGCAGAAAUCAAAAGUUUUUAUAAUGGUGCAAAUCAUAAGUGCCAUAUCCCGGCUUUAACUGUAAUGCACGUCCACAACUGUGGACUCUCUACCCUUUUCAGUUGGUAUGUUUUCAGAGAACUCCAAUAGCUUGGACAUUCAGAAGUAUCGAAUUGCAGAUUGUUGGAAAGCAUUGUUGAGGACAUAAGAACUGACAUCUUUCACAAAUGACAGGGUCAUCACAGUAUUCCAACGCUCGUUACUAUCUUAUUUAUUUGCCACACCUCAAAAGUUUCAGUAGCACUUCAAGUUAUGCUUGUAACAUGACUGCAGAUAUCUUUUUCAUCUGUGUCAGUGUCCGCAACUAGAGAGUUUCACUUCUUUGAAAACAAGCUCGACACUGGUAUCUGUUCAUAGUGAGUGGCACCAAGUGGAAGAAUUUUCAUUACCUGAACGCCUACAUAAGACAAUAUCGUCGGAGAGGAAGUAAUAAAAUGCCGAUUCAGGAAAUUCAAGUUAUUGCAAUCAAGAAUGGGGAACAGAAUCAGAGAGAGUUGGAAAGGUGAAACUUCAAGAGACUGAAAAGAAUGAGCAAUCGUAACUGAUCAAUACAGAAUCCAUUGGGAUUACUCGGCUUUCGGCAAUAUUUGAACAUCAGAGGUAUUAAGUUGCAUGUAUCUAUAUUAGUGAUCUUCCAAGAAUGUUUUCAGCUGUUUCAGCAAGACGAAGGUGAGGAAUCCAAUGAGGUAUUUAUGCAAUCUCUUAAUGUACCAUUCAUGAAUGAUUUACAGGUCUGUUAAGAUUGCCCUGCAUUAUAUGGAAUAUACGAAAGAGUCAUUUUACUCAAAUUAUAAAAGGCAACUCUGUGAGAAGCAUUUCAGUUUUUGCAAUAUGAUACCAUAUGUAGAGCCCUGAUUGCACCAUAUUGGAAUCUAAUAAAUAGUCUAUUAAAUAUGUCCACAUCCAACAUUUCACCGUGCAGCUAAAGGGCAAUAUUUAUGUGAAGAUAACACGUUUAUAAUGGGUCAUCUUAUAUUUUAUAAGGAGUGUUAGCAAGUUCAUGGAGUAAUCCAUGUUCUUCCAGGUAGGAGGUUGUGCUGGAAGCUCUUUUAUACAGUAACGAAACACGAUCUCCAGAAGCCGGGGCUUGAUAGUUUGAAGAAAACCAAGCAAUUUGAUAGAGGGAAUAUUGUUCCCUGAGUAGGUGCAUUACAACAAGGAUUACGAAGCUGCCCCUAUUCACUCGAUAUGGCCUUUGGCCUAUGGCAGUAAUAGUAGCAGGCAUAAACUGUCAUGGUUUACUCCUGCAGAAAGAAAGAUUGUCUUAAUUGCUAUGGCAGGGUGAUCUACUGGUGGACUCGUAAUGAGAUGGUUUGGAAAUUACAAUUUUUCAGUAGCUGAAUGGUCGCAUACUCUGAACGUGCUUCCCUUAAUCAAUAGAAUUAUGUUGAAUCUAAUGGAGCUAUUACAGCAGAUGCUAACUGUAUUAAGGUCAAUUGUUGUAAUGUCCCUGGUUCUAAAACUGAAACAAAAUUUGGUAUUUCAUAGACAGCUAGAGACUCGGUGGGAAAUUUCUAAACAGUGGCUAUCAGAAUGCACGAGGCACUCAGCUUGAUCAAGCAGCAGCAAGGGGGAGCAGGAUUCGAGGCUACAACUCUGCAUGUCUCUUAUGUUCAACCCAAAGCCUGUCGCCAUUCGAGUGUAAAACUCUAAUCCAAAACUUGUUAAAUAUUUCUGUUAAAAAUUUGUCAGAGUAACUUAAGAUACCCGACUUUAGUAUUAGUCGUGAAAUCUGUCAAACGAUCAGGAAACAAAGCAGCUGAUAGUGUAUAAAACAAUCAAAGAUCCCUGUUUAGGCCAACAAAGGCGUGCUACUAUACUCAACAGAUUGUAAGUCAUCAGGCAGGGAGCAUCUUAUCUUGGCUCCUAUCAUUUUACAGGGCUCCAGCUUAUCUUGACAUUUGACACUAGUAUGCAGCCUACACAAUCGUUUUCAUCAAUUAUGGAGUGUAAGCAAGACUCUAGCAUUGACCAUUACUACUUAAUUAUGUACUCCCUCUGGUCCUUUAUAUAAGAUACCUUGACUUUUUGCACAUUCUUUUAGGAGC